UGGCGAACGGGUGAGUAACACGUGGGCAAUCUGCCCUGCACUCUGGGAUAAGCCUGGGAAACUGGGUCUAAUACCGGAUAGGAGCCAUCUUUAGUGUGGUGGUUGGAAAGUUUUUUCGGUGUAGGAUGAGCUCGCGGCCUAUCAGCUUGUUGGUGGGGUAAUGGCCUACCAAGGCGGCGACGGGUAGCCGGCCUGAGAGGGUGUACGGCCACAUUGGGACUGAGAUACGGCCCAG
rnacentral:rRNA from 1 species